AUUCUUUUUUUGAACUUGACGGAAGAGCGCUGGGACCUGGUUUCCUGUCCUAGUUGGGAAAGUAGCUUUGUGCUUCUGAGACCAGCUUCAUUUGUAAACUGCAGAGUGGGCUGGGCUAUCCUCCAAGGUCCCUUGAAGAAAAUGACCGUGAGUCAUUUUCCCGGGAGAGAGCUGGGAUUUGGAAGCACAACACGCAGGUUAGCGGAGGCCUUUCUCCCAGGAUACCAGACCUCGGGUGCUGAACCUGUCUUCAGUGAAACCUCCAGUAUCUGUUACUAACGACUCCCAGUGAGUCAUGUAGUCUGUGGAGGAAACUACUGCCACAGAAGGAUGUGCACAGCAGUCCCAAGACAGCAUCCCUCCUCUGUCAAAUGUUCCCAGAGAAGUUCUGUCCGAGCCUCUGUUCUUUCAUCCCGUCUUCAUAAGCUCGUAUCAUAAGUUUCUAGAUGUUGACAUGCAGCAUUAGAGAGCUGGGCUUACUUCAUCAUCAUUGUGGUUCUGGCGCGUCUUGUCCAGUGGCCUGAUUAAUGGAUCCCACUGCCCUAGCCCCACGGCGUGUGCCUUUCCCUGUCCUCUUACUGUCGAUUGGACCUGAUUUAUUUUCAGAUCUUUGCUAACUUGAUGGGAAAACAUCACUUCACUUUUGUGUUUUAUUUUACUGAUUACGGAUAAUAUUAAAAGUUUUCACAUGCCUACUAGCUCUUUCUUGUUUCUCUAAAGUGUCUAUUUGUAUCUUCUGCCCAUUUUAUCUCCCUUAGAAUAUUUAUGGGUCUAUUUUUUUUUAAUUUCAUUAAUUCUUCGAGAAUUUCAUACAAUGUGUCUUUAUUGUAUUCACCAACCCCCCACGCCUCCCAGAUCCACACUCCAUCCCGCCCCCCA